UCCUGAUGAUUCUAGAUGACGAGUCUUAUUCGGGUUUCCGAUGCAGACAACAAAACUUACUACCAUUCAUGCCUUAACUGAA
rnacentral:ncRNA from 18 species